AGCGUGGCCUAUCGAUCCUUU
rnacentral:snRNA from 1 species